CUUCGUUGAUCUGUUGCGGACAAAUAAAGUGUAUGUGCGAAUCGAAACCACCAGCGGUGACGAUGAGUCCCUCGGCGGCAAUCACUUCGGUGCCGGCCCCAAUGACCAUGCCUUCGGAGAUCCCCGAUUGAAUCAAAGGAUUUCCAGCAUGUCCAAUCCCAGCGAUGCGGCCAUCCUUAACGCCGAGGUCGGCUUUGAUAAUCCCCAAGAUCGGAUCGAUAAUCGUGGCAUUGGUUAAAAUCAAAUCGAGACAGUCGGCAUCGAGUGCCAG
rnacentral:sRNA from 1 species